rnacentral:rRNA from 1 species
UACGGAGGGUGCAAACGUUGCUCGGAAUCAUUGGGCGUAAAGAGCUCGUAGGCGGCUUGAUAAGUCGGAUGUGAAACCUCCAGGCUCAACCUGGAGUCGCCAUCCGAUACUGUCAUGGCUAGAGUCCGGUAGGGGCCCACGGAAUUCCUGGUGUAGCGGUGAAAUGCGCAGAUAUCAGGAGGAACACCGGUGGCGAAGGCGGUGGGCUGGGCCGGCACUGACGCUGAGGAGCGAAAGCGUGGGGAGCGAACAGG